rfam:Salmo salar isolate Sally breed double haploid chromosome ssa18, whole genome shotgun sequence.
UGGCUCAGUUGGUAGAGCGUGGUGUUUGCAACGCCAGCACGGUGUGUGCAACGCCAGGGUUGUGGGUUCGAUUCCCAU